UCGGGAAUUUUGGGCAAUGGGCGAAAGCCUGACCCAGCAACGCCGCGUGAGUGACGAAGGUCUUCGGAUUGUAAAGCUCUUUUACCAGGGACGAUAAUGACGGUACCUGGAGAAUAAGCCCCGGCUAACUUCGUGCCAGCAGCCGCGGUAAUACGAAGGGGGCUAGCGUUGUUCGGAAUUACUGGGCGUAAAGCGCACGUAGGCGGAUUUGUAAGUCAGGGGUGAAAUCCCGGGGCUCAACCUCGGAACUGCCUUUGAUACUGCAAGUCUCGAGUCCGAUAGAGGUGAGUGGAAUUCCUAGUGUAGAGGUGAAAUUCGUAGAUAUUAGGAAGAACACCAGUGGCGAAGGCGGCUCACUGGAUCGGUACUGACGCUGAGGUGCGAAAGCGUGGGGAGCAAACAGGAUUAGAUACCCACGUAGUCCCUGAGCGGGCUGGCAAGGCGCAU
rnacentral:rRNA from 1 species